rnacentral:lncRNA from 1 species
UACGGAAAACCCAGUGGGAAAAACCGUAAAAAGGAAAAAGAGUGCCCGUCUAAAAGAGAGGAGAGAGCGGAAGGGAAAGUUUCCAGAACUCCGGCCUAACCAUCGUCCCCAAACAAUCCCGGCUCUCUCCCCAAAAAACGUAAAGGAACAAAACAUAGAAGGCUGAAGAGCCUUCAAAAAACCGAAACAGAGAAAGCUAAACGGCC